GGAUCCGAAGGUGAUUUGGCUGCACUAUCUGCCACCUCUUUGUUCACCAGAGUUGAAACUGCUGAUCUGGUUGCCUAGACUGGUGUUUCCUUCCUCCCUCCUCGCACCCCUCCAGAACCUGAGCACUCGGUCAAGAGGAUGACCUUCCCUUAUAGAAAAGAACCAGUCUUCUGUAAAGAAUAGAAGAGUAGCUGCACUUGCCUGCUAGAAAUUCCAGACAAUUUCUCAAGAUCCUUUUUU
rnacentral:snRNA from 1 species